rnacentral:rRNA from 1 species
CAGGAAACGGCCCGUGCAGGACGGUGGCCAUGGAAGUCGGAAUCCGCUAAGGAGUGUGUAACAACUCACCUGCCGAAGCAACUAGCCCUGAAAAUGGAUGGCGCUCCA